rnacentral:lncRNA from 1 species
GAGAGUUUACCAUCUUUUAUUUUUGAGAUGGGGUUAAGUGAGCCCCCCAUCAGCACCCAAGUAACUGGGUCCUCCAGCGCGUUUGCCCCACCCAGCCGUCCACCACCGGAGUGUGAGCUGUGUUAGGCUGGCCUCAGACUUGCAUUCCACCUGCCUCAGCCUCCCGAGUAGCUGGCAUGACACAUGUGCGUGUACUGGUUGUCAGGCCCGAUCUGGCUGUGAAAUGCGUAAUGAAUGUGCUGUUGAAGGCUGCAGCCCUCAGCAAGACCCGCCGCCCCAAACGCCCCUGGUUGUGCCUGGUGCUGCUGGCCUCUCCCUCAGCCCACCUGCGCUCAGGUGCGUAAAGCCCACGCCCUCCCUGCUUCCCGCUGGCACUCAAGCGCCCUCCUCCUCCGCCGUUUGUCACCCUGGCAGCCUCCCUGCUGGGCUUGGGGCUCGGGUCCCCGCUGUCACUGCACCAACAUCCCAUGGCUCUGGGGCCUACCUGGGGAUGGCGACGUCACUGUGCCCCGCAGGAGGCCCAUGUGGCGGCUCAAGGCAGGGAGCGAGCAGCGGGGACGCUCAGGGCUCCCCAGGCCUCACGCCAGGCCCCACAGCUGGCCGUCCCCACCCUGGAGGCCGGGCUGCU